UACGGAGGGGGUUAGCGUUGUUCGGAAUUACUGGGCGUAAAGCGCGCGUAGGCGGAUUAGAAAGUUGGGGGUGAAAUCCCGGGGCUCAACCCCGGAACUGCAUCCGAUACUGCCAAUCUAGAAUACGGUAGAGGGUAGUGGAAUUUCCUGUGUAGCGGUGAAAUGCGUAGAUAUAUGGAGGAAUACCAGUGGCGAAGGCGGCCUCCUGGCUCGACAUUGACGCUGAGGUGCGAAAGCGUGGGGAGCAAACGGG
rnacentral:rRNA from 1 species